rnacentral:rRNA from 1 species
GCUCAAAUUUAUAAUCUGGCACCUUCGGUGUCCGAGUUGUAAUCUCUAGAAAUGUUUUCCGCGUUGGACCGCACACAAGUCUGUUGGAAUACAGCGGCAUAGUGGUGAGACCCCCGUAUAUGGUGCGGACGCCCAGCGCUUUGUGAUACAUUUUCGAAGAGUCGAGUUGUUUGGGAAUGCAGCUCAAAUUGGGUGGUAAAUUCCAUCUAAAGCUAAAUAUUGGCGAGAGACCGAUAGCGAACAAGUACCGUGAGGGAAAGAUGAAAAGCACUUUGGAAAGAGAGUUAACAGUACGUGAAAUUGUUGGAAGGGAAACGCUUGAAGUCAGACUUGCUUGCCGAGCAAUCGGUUUGCAGGCCAGCAUCAGUUUUCCGGGAUGGAUAAUGGUAGAGAGAAGGUAGCAGUUUCGGCUGUGUUAUAGCUCUCUGCUGGAUACAUCUUGGGGG